GCCCUCAUCCUGCAUGCAGUUUUUGACCUUUUUCAAUGCCCUACUCUUUCUGAGUCUGCUUUCAUCUCUGAAUAACGGCAACAGCUCCUUUAGGGGUUUUGCAGCUGUGAGAGGCCUUCAAGCGGAUGUUUGGAUAAUCCAAGUUUGUAUUUUACAUUUACAGGUAGAAGUUGUAUACACUAUCACUAUUACAGAAAAUGGAAACUAUUUGCUCAAGUCUCAUGUGUGUCAAGCUCUGUGGUUUAUACUAAAUGUAGACUUUAUAGCCUGUUAUGUACACUGUGUGUUUCCUGUGCUAGGGAUCCACAAGACAGAAAACCUGAAACCUGUGAAGUUCCCUUUUCUCAGACCUUGGUAUAGCAUCAUCAUCAGUGGUUUCCGUGACAGUGCAAGCUUCCAGCUCCGUAAUAUGUAGUUCAGCAAUGGUGUGACUCAGGUGGUGAUUCAGUAGGUGGCAAGCUUCCUUCUGUCAAUAUUGAAUUUAUGCCCUGCUAUCAGAGUGCACAGCACUGUUUAAAGUACUGUCUUUCCAAUGGGAUACAAGAGUAACAUGGGGACCGGUUACUAUUGUUCAAGAUCCCAUGGCAGUUAAUUUUUUGCAUGGGUGGAAAUAUUAACUCUUGAGCAUCAGCCAGGUUUCAGUUUGGAGAAGUACGUUCUGCUUAAGCUUUCCUUUCCUGUCCUUACGCUGGCUUGUAAUCUUACUCUUCCUGAUGGCUUCUUUCCACGACAUGAGGCUGAGUGCUCCAGUGUGGGAGAUGAUUUCUCUGGAUCCAGACAGCUGGGGAUAGUGCUGGUAUCCUGAGUUAAACAGUAAGAAAGCAUUUCAGGACUGAAGUUAAUCCUGAUUAUUAGAAGUGUUCACUCAACCUUAGUUCAGUCACCUAGAAAUGUUUGAGUCCUGGACUCUCACAUGAUAUCUGUUGGCAAAAGAGCAUGCAAACAACAGGACAAGACAAAUGCAGGCUUACCAUGCAGCUCCUUAUCACAGUACAGGCCACUUGCAAAUGUCAGAUAAUCCUAAAAAAGUUACCAUACUAAUAAGAGCUGUGUGCUUCAAGAAACACUUAAAAUCCAGUUUUCAUGAGUUUCUUCUGGUUAUGGAACUAGUAGAGAUGACACUAUCGUUCUGUAUUUUUGGUAAAAUACUAAAAGUUGAUUCUGAUAUUCACAAAAGCCCUCCAAACUCAGAUGUGUGCUAGUUAAGAAGUGAUGCUCAUGGCAGUGCUUAUGAGCAGUGAUUGAGCAGUGAAUGAGCAGUGCUUAUUCUGCAGCUGGCAUUCCCCUGUAGCAGAGCAGUUUGCUUCCACACUUUCAUGCCAAGUAUAUGUGGGUGUACUUGUCUCAGUGUAUAAACUCUUUCUUUGGCUCAUUUGUGCAGCUUCAUAGAUACUUUUUCUUCCCUGGUUG
rnacentral:lncRNA from 1 species